rnacentral:tRNA from 1 species
GCGAGAAUAGCUCAGUUGGUAGAGCGCAACCUUGCCAAGGUUGAGGUCGCCGGUUCGAACCCCGGUUUCUCCCC